GCCUUCGUAGUGUAGUGGUCAACACGUUGGACGCGUAUUCGAGAGGUCCUUGGUUCGAGUCCCGACUAAGGCA
rnacentral:tRNA from 1 species